GUUUUCAAUACUUGCUUCGUGUUGUGCCGGCGAAACACACAUUUCUUGUCGCGUUGUGCCGGCGAAAUGCACACUUCUUGGACCCCUGCAUAACUGCUUGCAGUUCUAGUUAUUAUUAGGGGUCCAAGCCAACAGGUUGGAUCCCUAUUGUUUUUGUAGUGUUUAUUAGGGGUCCAAGCCAACAGGUUGGAUCCCUAUUGUUUUUGUAAGGAUUUUUCUUCCUAUUAUUAUUAUACUUACCCCCCUAAAAGUGGUACCACAGCCCAAACCGUAAAAGGUGCACACACGCCAAUUACAUGACUAGAUCCCGAUCUCUUCGGACUACGCAGACGACAAAAUCCAGACACGCCGGUCACUAGGUGGCGCUAUACCAAGGAAUACGCGUUUGGGGCUAUAACUCCCACACCGAACCUCCCACAGUCAAAAACUUGUACGCACAUAUUCACUGGAGUCUGCUGCAUCUUUUGGCAUAGGCCACGCCCAUUUGCGUCUAUAAUUUUUUUUCGCAAAAUCGCGAAAACCGCAAAGCUGUAUUUUCGCUACUCCUCCCACAU
ensembl:lncRNA